CUAGCAACAGCAAGAUCACAGAUGACAUCACAGCCCGCAAUGAAGAUGAGGCGGGUUACCUAACAGACAGCAGAUGCUGGUUCUCUCUCCCCUCCGCCUCUCCCAAAAUCCAAGAAAGAAAAAAAGAUCUCCGAGCAGUCUUAUAUAAGGACACAAGACUCAUUCCAAGAUAAUCCGCCGAGCCCCACAAUCAAUUUCGUCCUGUCAAAGUCAUCAGCAGCCCCCAAAUUGGUCUGCUUGCCCCAGGGCAGAUUAUGGUGGUUGCCACACAGUAGUUUACAAAACAGAGAGCUCCAACGAUGCGGAGGAUCCAGGAGUUUCUGCAGCUGCAGGAUCUAUCGCCGGUUUACACAAGGAAGCUAGAGCAGCGCAUCAACAUUAAUGGCAUCUAUUCCCAGGUGUUAUUACCAUCAUUUAUUCCAGGUGCAGAACCCGGAGAAUCCCAGGUUGCUCAAGUCCUGGAAAUCGACACUCAAAGCAGCAGGGAAGGGAAAUUUCACUGUUCUGAACAAGAUGUUGCCACAAGGCUAUGCUGCAGUGACACAGCCCUGUGUGCACCCCAGCAGCUUUUGGAGUGAGCAACCAACCAACCAACCAAAUUGCUCAUCUUUUAAAAGACCCUGCAAGUGGUUAGGCGAAUGUUCUACAGGACAAUCCCAAUCUUCUUCCAACUGGAAGACAAUCCUGGAUCUCAUCUAAAGACUGGCUUAUCACUAGAGUCAAAAUUUUAAAAAUCUAGGCACACUCAAAGUUCCUUAUCAUAUAGCAGUCCAUCACCACGUCGCACACAUCAUCCCAAAAAUGUAUUCCAAAUAGCAUUGUCAGUCAACUCAACAAGGCAAGAUGGAGGAUAGCAUUCACUUUGUGUUGACCUAGUGGAGAACUAAGGAGAAUGGUUCAUCUUGUGACUCAAUUCAGUCACACAAAACUUGACUAGGAAAGUAUGUAGAAGUCCACACCUCAAAACAGGCUUACAAACUUAUCUGGUAAGAGAAGGCAUCCUGCCCAA